GAGAUGGGCAGUCCCUGGGCGCUGAGCUCGCUGCCCAGGGCAGCCCCUGAGGAGGAUCCGACGGCGGUGCUCUGGGGGAAGGAGAAUGAUCAGAUGAGUUGAGAGGGACCUUAAAGGUCAUCCAGCUCAGCCCCUCUGCAGUCAGCAGUGACAUCCCCAUCUGGAACAGGUUUCUCAGAGCCCCAGACAAACUGACCUGGAAUGAUUCCAGUGAUGGGACAUCUACGCCCUCUUUGGACAACCUGGACCUGAGUCUCGCCACUCGCACAGAGAAUUUCCUGGGUUUAUCUCAUCUAAAUAUAUUUUUUAGUUUGAAAUCA